UGCUCUCUCCUCUUGUAAAUAUAAAUAAAUACACAGGAAGAACAGAGAGCCAAAGAUUGAAGCAGAACAGAACAGUGUCUUUUACAUUCAGAGAGUAAUCCUUCACAGUGUUUGAACUUUGAACAGAAUCAGAGAUGAUGGGUUUGAGAAGGUGGAGAAGAGUGAGAGCAUGAGAAUGGAGAUAAGGAGCAGAAAAGCUAGAAAGCUUAUUGAAGAGACUCUUAAGAUUGCUGAUUCACCCACCUCCAAAACCUUUGCUUUUUGAUUAUGCAUUUAUGCUUAAUUAUUGCUUGAUAUUCAGUGUUUUGUUCUUCAUUUCUGUUCUUCAUUUUGUAAUGCUUCAAUGAUAAAUUUAUCCGACCAUUUUGUUUC